rnacentral:rRNA from 1 species
CCCAAAGAUUAGCGGCGGACGGGUGAGUAACACGUGGGCAACCUGCCUGUAAGACUGGGAUAACUUCGGGAAACCGGAGCUAAUACCGGAUAAUCCCUUUCCUCACAUGAGGAAAGGCUGAAAGACGGUUUCGGCUGUCACUUACAGAUGGGCCCGCGGCGCAUUAGCUAGUUGGUGAGGUAACGGCUCACCAAGGCCACGAUGCGUAGCCGACCUGAGAGGGUGAUCGGCCACACUGGGACUGAGACACGGCCCAGACUCCUACGGGAGGCAGCAGUAGGGAAUCUUCCGCAAUGGACGAAAGUCUGACGGAGCAACGCCGCGUGAGUGAUGAAGGUUUUCGGAUCGUAAAACUCUGUUGUUAGGGAAGAACAAGUAUCGGAGUAACUGCCGGUACCUUGACGGUACCUAACCAGAAAGCCACGGCUAACUACGUGCCAGCAGCCGCGGUAAUACGUAGGUGGCAAGCGUUGUCCGGAAUUAUUGGGCGUAAAGCGCGCGCAGGUGGUUCCUUAAGUCUGAUGUGAAAGCCCACGGCUCAACCGUGGAGGGUCAUUGGAAACUGGGGAACUUGAGUGCAGAAGAGGAAAGUGGAAUUCCAAGUGUAGCGGUGAAAUGCGUAGAGAUUUGGAGGAACACCAGUGGCGAAGGCGACUUUCUGGUCUGUAACUGACACUGA